rnacentral:rRNA from 1 species
AUUGAACGCUGGCGGCAGGCCUAACACAUGCAAGUCGAACGAGUGGCGGACGGGUGAGUAAUGUCUGGGAAACUGCCUGAUGGAGGGGGAUAACUACUGGAAACGGUAGCUAAUACCGCAUACCAUCGGAUGGGGCCAGAUGGGAUUAGCUAGUAGGUGGGGUAACGGCUGACCUAGGCGACGGUCCCUAGCUGGUCUGCGAGGAUGACCAGCCACACUGGGACUGAGACACGGCCCAGACUCCGACGGGAGGCAGCAGUGGGGAAUAUUGCACAAUGGACGCAAGCCGGAUGCAGCCAUGCCGCGUGUGUGAAGAAGGCCUUCGGGUUGUAAAGCACUGUCAGCGGGGAGGCGUUACCCGCAGAAGAAGCACCGGCUAACUCCGUGCCAGCAGCCGCGGUAAUAC